CCCCUUCCAGCGGGGAGCGUCCCCCUUGGGUGGCCUCCACGUUGGCCGCCAUCCUCAUCUUCACCAUCGUGGUCGACGUGCUGGGCAACCUGCUGGUCAUCCUCUCCGUCUACAGGAACAAGAAGCUGAGGAACGCCGAGUCAGAAUGGAACCUUGCAUAAUUUGCUGGCAUUUCCGUUGUGAAAAUCUUGGGCGCUGGCUGGAAAUCCAGCCAGGAGGAGGAGAAACAGAAGAGACUUAAAGGACAUGUAUUCUCAAAGAAGAUUGCUUACCCUUCUCUACAAAGAAAACAGAUUAUGGCCACAUGGAUGUGGUGGUGGUAGUUGGAAUCCUUUCAUGUCUUUGUUCUUUCUAAAAUUGUUGAAGAGACUUCACAAUGGAGAUCUGGACUUCUUUUAUAAGGAGAGAGCUCUGAGAGUAGGAAAGGCCUUAAAAAUGCCUUGACAAGAUUUGAUCUCUCCAGCCCAGCAGUCAGGACAUUAGGAAGAGCCCAUGUGCUCAAAGCAGAGGAGUCAGUCUCCCAAAGGAGCUUGGUCCCAGCAAGGAAGGUGUGUCUGAUACAAAGCGACUCCUUCAUAGUCACAGGCAUGACUUCAGUAGAUGCUCUCCUAGACACAGAAGCUGGUGAUACUGAUGAUGUCUUUGGAACUUCUUCUGGUUAUCUUGGGAAACAGUGGAAGACUGGAGAAACAUCUGGACAAUUUUACUUUUGGAAGACAUUCGACUAAUAGGCUAACUCAAGAUAUCAAUGAAAGAGAGUGAAUGAUGGAUCACAAUGGACAUUUAUAUUGCAUACCUGCUUGUCUUCAGGUAGCAUAAAUGCUGUUGGAGCUGCCGUGACCACACGAAGGAGGAAGAAGAGGGAGAGUAAGAGGCAAGGAGGGUGAAGAGGAGGUGCCUUCCUUGCAUGAGAGAUGGAGGCAGCAGCAGCAGCAGCAACGACCCAAGGCGGCAGCUCCAAGAGUCGAGGAGGAGGAGCCACACACUCUCUCUCCAAGGCAUUUUAAGGAGGCUUCCCACUUGCAGAUAAGGAAAAAUGAUGACCUCCUGGAAGAGGAGAGUAAAUGAGGGUUUACUUUUUUUCUGUUGAGGGAUUAAUAAAAAAUAUUAAACUGUGCUUAUGAAAAGAAGGCAUGAAAACACUUUCUUUUGUUUCGAGCUAAUUUUCAUGGGGUGUGUGUGUGUGUGUGUUCCUGUUUUGUGCUCCAGCACGAAAUGAAAGGAACUAAAGAACAAAUUGAAUGGGAGAAACGAAUUUCGCGCACAUGUCUAGUGCUUUACAAAUAAUAAUACAAAAGGCAGAUAUGUGGUGCUGUUAGAAAAUUAAGAAGACAGGCUGGCCAAGUUGACUUCAGGAUUCUAUGGGUUAUAACCUGUCCUCUACUCAAAACAUUUCAGUUCUGAGUCAGCCUUCCCAAAGCAUGGCAGAGAGGAAAUACAGAAGGCCAAGUAAACAUUUUGAUUCACUGCUUUACAGAUCUUUCAUUUCAGCCGUGAUGUGAAGCUAGAAGCAAUUCUCACACCAUAACCUGAGAAUGGGGUGUGACUGAAUGCUUGUGUUUUUCUGUGUACGUCUUCAUUCUUUGCCAGCGUGGGUACCCAAGGGAUUUAAAUCUCUUGUUGGUCAAGGUGGAGUUAUUUUGACAACAUGCCAUAGUUCACAGCAUCCCACUCUAAAUUUGUAAAACCUUGCUGUGUCAAGACUGCAGUUAAUACUUCUCAUGGGUCCUUUCUCAUAAAGUCUACAUUUUUUAUUUGCUAAGGUGACAGAUCAGUGGCACCAAAAAUCGUAUUUCAUAAAUUUUCCUUGGUUUAAAUUGUACACAUACCCUUCAGCGAAAUCCAUUGUAGCAUGUUGUGAAAGAGAACAACAGUCAUGUUGCAUUUGAUGAACAAGAGAUUCAUAAGCAGUAACUAAAUUUGCAAAUCACAUCUAGAACAGCUAGUGCAUGCCAUCAAUACCAAUGUUUAGACUACUUUCUCCAUCAAAUAAAAAAAUACAUUUUAUAUUCAUGGGUUUCUAUGUGCAUUCGUCCAAAACAGCGCUGUGUUGGUCUUUCCUUUAGCCAGUUUACUCAGCAGUGAAAAUAACCAUGUAGUCAAACAGUUAAGCUUUAUAUUGAAAAGAGAGCUUAUUUUAGCCAUUUUCAUUUUUCUAUUUGAGCAUUGGAUUUCCAUGUGUAUGACCUAGCUGUAAAUUGCAUUUUAGUUAUGGUUAGGAAGAGUAGCUGAGAGGUACAGCAGUAGGUUCCUUUUUUUAAAGUGUGUAUGUAUAGUUAGUAAAUCAAACAUUCAGAACAGACAUGUGAUAUUUAAUUAAGACAUGAACACUUUAAUUAUGGAUUUUUUUGGAACAAAUGCCCUCACAAUAUGCGCAUCCCUGCUGGUAUAUUUAUCUACAGACAGGAUUUUGAAGAGAUUCCCACUGAGUUCCUCAAUCUGUUCCUUUUCUUUGGUGUGUGUCUUUCCUGUCCUAUAUGACUGAAAUUAACAACAGCCUGCCAAACUAAUGCUGAGCCUUUUCAUUUUUUUUUUAAUUUGAUAGAUAGAUUUGACUCAUUUAAUAGUGUAAUAAUGGGGUUUCAAGUAAUAGUGGCACAGUUACCUAGAGUUUAGCUUUCCACUGUUGAAUAUUUCAGCAUUUCCUUUAUUCUAGGUUCGAAAUUAUGCUUCUUUGGAGGAAUGGAUUAACUCUGUUUCUUGAUUUCCUUAACACAUUAAAGAGGGCAAGGCCUAUGUGAUUAGGAGGGCAGUUAAUAUUGGUUGGGCUAAAGUUAGAACUGAGAAAUGCAGCCAGGUCAAGUAAUGGGGGGGGGGGGGCGGUUGGCAGAAUCUUGAUGAAUCAUUGGAAAUGCUGACCUCUAUAAUAUGUAGACCUUCUCAAUGUGAUUGAUGACAAUAAUUUGCUGGGGAAGGGGCAGUCCUGAUUGAAUGGUGAUUACUCACAUAUGUGUGAAGUGCAUUCGUUGAGUCUCAUUUCUGUCCCCAUAAGGCAGUGGUUCUCAAACUGUGUUCUGUGGAGCCCUCGGGGUCCAUCAAGCAUACUGGGGGGCUUUGCAGUUCCCUCCUUCUGCUCCCUCUUCCCUCUCCCCUCCAAGCUUUCUCUCCUCUUUCCUGCUACUCCCUUCUCCAUCUGCCUCCCUUGCUACCAAAAGCCUUUCCCUUGCCAACAAAAGUCUUUUUCGCUUGGCCCUCUUGCUGCCAAAAGCCCUUUUCCCUGAGCUUCCUUGCUUCCAAAACCUUAUUUCCCUGUCACCGCUCAGGUGGUGUUUUGAUUAUGCUGUUCCUGCCUGGCAGCAGGGAGAUGAACUGUAUGGCCCCUGGGGUUUUGGCUUAUUAUUAUUAUUAUUAUUAUUAUUAUUAUUAUUAUUAUUAUUAUUAUUAUUAAGGCUGGGUUGCCAUCUGUUGGGGGUGCUUUGAGUGUGCUUUUCCUGCAUGGCAGAAGGGGUUGGAUUGGAUGGCUCCUGGGGUCUUCCACUGAAAUACUGUUAAAAUUGUUCUUCAAAGGUUUGUCCAUCUAUUUAUUUCUUUACUCUGUGUCAAAAGCAUUGCAUAAAUAAAUAAGCAUAAAACUGAUAAAAUAAAGGGAAUACAAGCAGCUAAAUAAUUUUAGACCAAAAAUGGGCAAUAUAUAAUAUAAUAUAUAAACAUUUAUUGGGGCUUCACAAGAAACUUUUGCUUCAAAAGGGGUUCUGUGACUGAAAAAGUUUGAGAACCCCUGCCGCCCUCCUGGCUCAGGGAAAUGAUGUGCAAGGAGAUGGAGGGGGGUGAGGAAAAAAAAUCCCUCCUAGACCCCAUCUCCUGGUGCAUAAUUUCCUCGCACCUUCUGGUGCAAGGAGGAACGUUAUGGUGGCCAGGUGAAUUUUAUUGUAUUUUAGGGGUAAUUUUAGGGCUGGGGGGGUUGGUGCCUAAAAGAUGAAAGAUUGCAAUGGGGACCCUCUCCUGGGUAGUCCCAGGACUACCCAGUAGUGAGUGCCCACAGGCUCAAUAACUAGUAGACCUGCGCCUUUCAGGAAGGCCCAAAUCUAAUGAGGUAUCUAAUUAAUUCAGAACAAACCCUGGCUUGUUCUGAAUUAAUUCGGUUUUACCUGAAGCAUCAUUUGGAUGCCUCUGGUAAAACUGAGACAGAUCUUGGUUUUUAGGCCUGUCUGGAUGGGUCCCUAGUCAAUUGCUAUAGGGGAACUAUUAGCUUGAUUUUAAUGAUUAGAUUGCAUUCUGGUUACCAAGCAAAAUGUGACUUUUACAUAGUUUACAUAGUAAUAGAGAUGUUGCAUGGAAAAUCUGACAAGCUGCCUAGAUGGUCUGGAGAGGCUGGUAUUUUAUAAAGUCAAGGUAAAGGUUUCCCUUUGACAUUAAGUCUAGUUGAGUCCGACUCUGGAGGAUGGUGUUCAUCUCCAUUUCUAAGCCGAAGAGCUGACGUCAGUAGACACCUCCUAUAUCAUGUGACUGGCAUGACUGCAUGGAGCGCCGUUACCUUCCCACCAUAGCUGCCCCUAUUAAUCUACUCACAUUUGCAUGUUUUUGAACUUCUAGGUUGGCAGAAUCUGGGGUUUAUGACGGGAGCUCACCCUGUCCUGUGGAUUCGAACUGCUGACCUUCAGGUCAGCAAGUCCUGCAGCCUAGCGGUUUAACCCACUGAACCAUUGCUGGCCCUUGUUACUUUAUAGUUGGAGUAUAUUGUGUUUUAAUCCUGUAAUAUACUUAUUUUAAUCCUCCAGUGAAAAAUUGCAUAUGCUUGACCAAAGCAUAUGUGCUUAACCAAAGCAUUAUUGUGAUUUGCUAUCUGGUUGGCUUUGUCUACUGACAGCCCUGUGAAGGAGACUGCUCCUUUGUCAUGAAUAGCCCUAAUCAAGUCUAGCAACUCAAAGCUGGCACUAUUUUAAUUAAAUCAGUCCAUCUAUAAUGUGGUCUUCCUCUUUUCCUUUAGCUGUCCAUGCUCUCUAGCACUAUUGACUUUUCCAGUGAAUCAUGGUGGAAAGGUUUAUAAGCAACUGGUGCAUGGCCUUGUGCACUCAACAGUUCUUUGAGUUGAGAUGCCUUGUGAAUAUACAAGCCUAUAUCUAUACAUAGCACACAAAAAUUCACCUUAUACAGCUUCUGUUUUACAGUCACUGGACAGCUGAGGCUAUUAUUUUUGCACCAUUCAACUUGUCAGAUUGUAUUAGCUUACUGUCUAAAGAGAACUCCCUCUACAACCAAUUGCUUGUUAAUUCAUCUACAGCAAACUCUAAGGGAUUUCCCUUAAAAACCAUUUUAGGCAAAGUACUUGAUUUAUACUUCCUUUGGCACCACUUAACCAAAGUUCAGCAAACGUCAGAUGUUUGCACUGGCUCACAAGAGCAUUGUGAGAUUAUUCUUAAAACCUUUAACUUGGGAAAAAUCUGCUUAUGGUGAUUUGGAGCAGAGGUCACCAUGAUGUUGGAAAUUGCUUAUGAUAUGUUGUGGGACGCCCCUUGGAAUGGCUCCCUUCUCUCUUAGAACCUUCAUGAAAUUGUAAUGAGAGAUAGAAUAUCAUUCAGCCAAUUUUUUGUUUGAAAUUUGUAUUCUGAAAUACACAGAAAGCGGUUGGAAUCCAGCAUCCUUUCAAAGUAGUGUAUACGGUCUGUACAUGGAAAUAUGCUACCCAGCAAUUUGCAGGACCUAAGUUAAAUAGCAGCACAUAAGAGCUUUGGGCUUUGGGAGGGAGUUGUCAGGGGCAAUUUUUCCUGCUUCUCUCUCGAAGCUGCGGUGAGAUCAGCAGAUAAAUGAAACUGCAGAUAUGAAAUCUGUGGAUAUGGGUAUCUUACCAUAUCCUAGCUGAUUACACCCUGAUUAUUGGUUAUUGGUUGUCGGUUUUUCUUGAGUUUAAGCUUUUAUUGUUUUUAUAUGCUUUUAUGUAUUAAUUCAUUGUAAUUAAAUGUAUCUUAUGUUGUUGUAUUUUAUUGUUGCAUUACUGGGCUUGGUCCCCAUGUAAACUGCCCCAAGUCCCUUCAGGGAGAUGGGGCGGGAUAUAAGAAUAAGGUUAUUAUUACUAUUUAUGUCAGUGGAACUCUGCUUGCUCAACCUAACCAGAAGAUGACCUUAUUAUGUCCUAAAAAGGGAAACUACAACUAUAAGAGAAUUUAUACUGACAUAUGUCACAAACAGCAUUCUAGCCCACUGUGUCCCCUUCCACACAGGUGAAUAAAAUCCUACAUUUUCUACUUUGAACUGUAAUAUAUGGCAGUGUGGACUCAUACAACCAGUUCAAAGCAGGUAUGGUGGAAUUUUCUGCCUUGAUAUUCUGGAUUAUAUGGCUGUGUGGCAUUGGAAGCUUUUGUUUACAGACAACAGUUAGGCCGGGCAACUUUGAAAAGGGCUACCUGGCUAUGCCUAUGAACUAGAGGCAUAUGAAAUCAGCAUUUGGCAAGUGCUUGGGCUCCAUUAUAUGUCUUCAUUCAACUGUAAAAAUAAAUCUUAUGAUUUUUCUCAAUGUGAAUAUUAUUUUCCAGGAGCUAACUUGUAAAACGUUUACUUAAUAGUCUUCCAGAUUCUGCCAUCCUGUACCAUAGGAUAAUUGUCCUAGUGUUUGAUACUGUAGAAAAAAUUGUACUUAUCUUGUUAGUGCUGCAGUCCUGACACAUAACAUUUUCUAUAAUUUGCUUUAAUUAAGAUUUAAAAAAAACAUUGUGGUUUUGCAGAAAAUGAAAACUGCAAGGAUUUACCUUCCCAGUGAUAUUGCUCCACUGUGGAGUUGGGGGGAGGAGUUAGUGGUGGGUGGAACUGUUUGGUGGGAAGUGAUCAUUCUCACCAGAAAGUGGUUCUUUCCCAGCUUGGAUUUUUAUUUUUUUUUUUAAAAAAAGGUACAUGUGUGUGAAUGUUUGCAUAUCAUAACUUCAGUAUUAGUGCACCCUGCUUAACAAAAAUACAUAUAAUUAUGAAUGAUGGAAACAACAAAUAAACAAAAAAAGUAGAGUGGCCACAGCCGUGUGGUUGGAAAUAAUGCAAAGCAAAUAUGGAUUGCCUUCUAAUGUGUGGCUCAUUAUGCCAAUCACAUCAUGAUGUGUGUGAUAUGUGUGGUAGGCGGGAUCAAUGUAGGCUGGGAAAAUGCGGUGCCAAACAGAUUUUUUUUAUCAGUGUAGGCAAGCUUCCAAAUCCCGCCUACCUUUCCAAGUGCAUUUUUCGACUUAGAUGCAUCCCACAAGAUAAAAUGCCUUUCUAAGGUUCCAUUUAUUGAAAGUGCAACCCUACUGUUACAUAAAGUGAACAACUCUCCAAGUUGCUGGGGCCAUGGCAGCAAUUCUUCACCUUGCUUUCUGACCAACUCUACCUCACCCUGUUGUAUAUACCUCACCACUCAGUAUCAAGAAAUAGAACUUUGUGUGCUAUAUGAGUUGACCUAGAUCCAUGAAACUAAACUAUUGCCUCAGGUUUAAUGCAGGACACUGUCCAGUGCCGUGGUGUAUUCAUUGACCCCCAAGCAAGCAAGCAAGCAAGCUAGCACUGGGAGAUAUUCCCCAAAUGACUGUCUCAUUUUCAGAUGGGAGAUUUUAUUUCACACAUAGAGAGAGCCAUGCAGGCAACAACACCCAGAGAGCUAGGUCCAACCAGAUGGUUCAUUUCUGCCUUAAGGCCCUUUACUACCAACAGCGGAAAAGUUCUUGAUCGCUUCUUGUAUGUAUACCACAAUGCGAUUUUAUUGAUGCUUAAUGGUCUUAAGCUUGUAAGUUUCCUUGGAAGACAUGGAUUUUAAAUGUGGGUUAGGAAUAAUUGCAGUCCAUUAUAUAUUGAAUGACCAAGUGAUAGCACUGAUCCAUCUCAAGUGAAUUUUGUCAUUUCAUUCUCUGGCUGUAGCCAUAUCUGUAGAGUGGUUUUGAAGAAAUAAAAGUUUGGUUUCUAGAACAGUCUCAGCUCAAAGGAAAGGAAGAUAGAAUGUUUUUGGUUAUGAGCUGGUUGAUUCCAACAGCUAGUAAGUGACUAGUAAGUGACAAACCUUAUCUUUUUUAAAUCUCAAAAUGGGAGAAGGCCUCUGCUGUGUUCUUUUUGUUGAUGUGUAUGUGAAGUUGUUGAUCUGUGAAAAAAUUGUAAAAUAGAUAAGAGGACACACGUUUUCCAUACCUUCUCAUUGACUGCAUGGAACUGCAGCAUCGUAUUUUUCACUGUUUGCAUUUGACUUGGUUUUUUCAUCAUCAUAAUGAAACUCGAAACAGAGUUUCUUUCCUGAGCACUCUUAACAUUUUUGUCACCACCUCCAAAAUGACAUUUUCAUAUAUAUGUGUGUAUCAAUAAGCCAUCUUCACAGAUUUGGGCCAUAUUAAAGUAAGAUGAUUUACUGUUGAACCUGGACAUUAGCAGGAUAUUUUCUUAUAAGUUGCCCCAGGGGUAAGAAAAGCAUUAUAUAUAAAUACAGUAAAUAAGUGCAAAAAUAAUGGAUUCUGUGGGCAGGAUUUUUUUUUUGGAACUAUAUUGAGAUGAUGUGGCACAUUGGAAAAUAUGAUAAUUCUGGAAAAAGUGAAAGUCUGUAGAAAAAGAGAGAAACAGCCUUCCAAGUGGAUGGAUUUAGUCAAGGAAGCCACGUGAAUUUUGGAAUUUUGGAAUUUAGGGAUUUUAGAAGUAUCUCAUUCAUAAGGUUUUUAUAUGUUGGAGUGACUUUGAUAGCAAACUACAACAGUUUUACAAUGGACCUGACUGUUUUCAGUAUUAUUUUUUGUAACAUGGAUUGGACAUAGAAGAAUGAGCCAAGACAAACAGCAGAUCCUUUCUGGCUUCUCUCCUUCUGUGACCCUAAGAUCCACUCAAACAGUCAAGGAAUGGUCUCAAAUGGUGUGAAAUGGGACAGAUGAAGGAGGAUGGAUGAGACCUCAACAAAGCUGUCUUGCCCAAUUUUUUAAAACAAAGAAUAGAUUUAUCUGCAUUUGAGACUAUUUGCUAUUUAGUAGCAGCACUUCCCGCUUGCAUACAUGACUGUGCUUACUUCAGCCGUCAGGGCAUUUCUGUAUUUAUUCUGCCAUAAUUGAGCUGAAGUCCAUCAUCUUGUUUCCCCUUUGAGCGAUUGUGCAUGAAUGGUUACAGACUUGGAAAAACAAGAGAGAGCUUAAUGUGAUUUCUGCUAUAUCUUGAGGCUUGCCAUUUUCAAUGCACAAUUUUUCCCCUUAUCUGGGAGAUGGCAGAAUCGCAUUUGCAGCAUUAUGAAUCCUAUAUGGAAUCAUGUCAUCCAUUGUUUCAAACCAGAGACAGAGAGAAUUGAGCCUGGCCUCAAGCUGUGUAGCACCACCAGGAAGCUGCAAGGCUCAGACCAGGUUCCAGUUGCAUGAAGAGUUAGACUCUGAGUUAGACUCAGAAAGGAGAGCAAAGUAAUCUGACAAAAUGUUAGCUUUAAUCAGCAUCAAAUAUUUAAUCAGAUUAACCAGAGAUUAGUCCUAGGACCAAAUUCAAAUCAUCAAAAUACACCACGUCUUCACAAUGGAAGGAGAUAAUAAAUCUUUCCUCAAGACAGGGGUGGGAAAAGUAUGGCCCGUAGGCCACAUUUGUGACCUCUACUACCCACCAUGUAAAACUUUGGAUGCUUCUUACUCUAAUUCCUUAUAGGAAAACAACUUGUAAGCUCUUCGCAGCAAGCUCAAUAACUCAAUUUUGCUCUGCUGUACCUCUCAAAAUGGUGAUAAGAAAUGGUACAAUAUUAUUUCCAUCAUUCUGAGCAGGGUAGCAAAGAAAAAUGGCAGAAUUUGGGCUUAUGCUUACUGCCCCUGGCUAUUGGUUAUCGGUCCUGAGUAUGUUUUUAUUGUAUUUUAUAUGCCUUAUGUUUUAUAUGUUUACAUAUUUAAAUGUAUCUAUAUUAUUGUAUUUGUAUUGUGUAUUACUGGGCUUGGUCCCCAUGUGAGCCACCCUGAGACCCUUUGAGGUGAUGGGGUGGGACACAAGAAUAAAGUUAUUAUUAUUGUUGUUGUGUGGGGGGAAGUGCUACAAGUGGGCAGAUCUGAGGAUAACAUUUGUCCUCCUUUUACCUCCCAUUCACGUGGUUGCCUGCUCCUGCCUCUUGGCAAUUCAUGUGAAUAACCCUCUUGAUGAAAUUAUUGAAAUAGUCCACCAGCCCUUGUAUUCGGGUGCACUUUCUUAAUGUCUAAUCCAGAUAUCUUUGUGUACUGAACUGGGCUGUUGUGUCCAUGUAUCUCUAAUCCAUCUUCAUUCCCUUCAAGAAGGAAGAUUUAAGAUGCUUCCUUUUGCCAUCCUAAGAGCUAUCUCAUCAUAGAAAAAGAAAAGGUGACAUAAAGACUUGCAAAUGAACUAACUUGUUUUUUUAUCAUAAAUUUUCAUUGAUAUAUCAUCAAAAUACACCGUGUCUUCACAAUAGCUCAUCAGAUGCAGUACAAAGUGAUAACAAAGCCUCAAGAUAAACAGCACAUGAAUACAGUCGUGAGAAUAUAAUAGGAUCCAGAAAGAUGCAAAUCAUGUCCCUUUCACUAAAUUAGAAGGGGUGGAUGAGGUGAUACAAAUCUUUCAACUUUUCAAAGUGGUUAUUUGGAUGUGUAAAAGCAUUGCAUCUGCAUACCAAAAGUCAGUUUCUUGGGUUCAAAAUCGUCUGAGAAAGUUACUUUGUUAUUUGUGCCAUAGUGAGGAAUCCUGUGUUAAUAUAUGUAGAAAGAGCAGAAGUCACUUCAAAUCAGUUAUAUUUUCACGUAACUUGGAAAGUUAAUGGUCUGAGAAUUGAGUUAAUAUAUCAAGAUACUUCAGCAGUGACAGUCCUAGUACCUGAGAUAAUUGGUCUUCCUGGAUUGCUUUGCUUGUGUAUUUUGGUAGGAGAUAGAAGAUGCCUAGAUCGGGCUCCUGGAGUGUGCCCAUUUGAAUUCAAUUCUGCACAUCAGUAGAGUAUUUUCUGAAUAAUUUCUAUAAAUUUUUCCAAUAUUGAUUAAUGGGAUCUUCAGAGAACAUUCUGUAUAAUGUAGUAGCAUUUCCUGUGCAUAGUCUGAUUUGUUGAUUAGGGAUCUCAUCAUAUUUGCCACUGGAAUUUCCACAAAUCAUGGCAAAUCUGGUGGUGCCCGGCGAGGGGCAGGGGGAACCUCUCACCCCAUACCCUGCAUUACCUGACUUAACCCUAACCCCAUCCCAUGAGGGGAGAGUGUCCACCACCUGGCUUCCCCCCAUUGUUGCUAAUUCAACAUGGAAAACCUCAGCAGCAAAUGCCAGUUCCUCUCCUUUUGCUCCACAAAGCCUUAGCUCUACGUAGUGGGAUAGGAGCUAGUGAGCUCUGUGGGGUAAAUGGAGAAGAACCGGCGUAUGCCAUCGCUUUUGGUCAAUGUGAUGAGGUUGAAAGACCACAACUCUCUCUUUGUCAACUUGUCAUAUAAUGAAAUUAUAAUUAUUCCAGAUACUGAGGAUGAGACUGUCUGUUUGCCUGAGACUGUGUGGUGUCUCUUGUUGAUUAUCUCAGUAAAGAUAUUCUAUGUAGAAAUCCAAUUCCAUGUUUUGGUCUUAAGGAGGGAUCCACAUAAAGUUUUUUUUAUUAUUAUUGCUGGGAAACUUAUUCUUAUACAGUGACCGUUGCCAUGUUAUGGCGGCUGAGGUGAUACUUGCAAGCUGUUGUCACUCUCCCUGAAAUAUUAGUCGUAGACAAAAGAGGAAAUUCUCAAAGUCAUCCCCAAACUGAAUUAUGUGUGUAGGUUUGGAGACACAGACGGUUGGCUUAGUGUGUGGCUGAAAAAGUUUACAGUAUUACUGUCUAAACUGGUUUUUUUCAUGUCAGGAGUGACUUGAGAAACUGCAAGUCGCUUCUGAUGUGAGAGAAUUUGCCAUCUGCAAGGAUGUUGCUCAGGGGACGCCCAGAUGUUUGAUUUUUUACCAUCCUUGUGGGAGGUUUCUCUCAUGUCCCCACAUAGGAAGCUGGAGCUAACAGAGGGAGCUCAUCUGCACUCUUUCAAAAUUCGAACUGGCAACCUUCAGGUCAGCAACCCAACCUUCAAGUCAGCAGUCCUACCUGCACAAGGGCUUAACCCAUUGUGCCACCAGGAGCCCAUCCAAACUGGUGAUAUUUCUAAACUGGGCCAUUGGGGCCUGUAGUAAGAAAGUUUCAGAUUUUUCUCUCAUAGUUAUCUGAGAAAUCCCAUUUUUCUCAGAAGAUGGUUGCAAGGGCAAUCAUAACACUGAGAUGGUGAACAUCAGUCCCUCGUGUUUGCAGCAGUUCUAAAAGUUCAUUAUCUCUGAUCUGGUACCUUGCAUACCUGAUAAAGUUCAAGCCUGUUUGUGGAGACAUAGAAGACAUUAUAUAAAUUGAUAUUUAAAUUGAGAGUUGGUACUUCAGAUUAGAAAUACCCCUGUGACUAGCGAUUGUAUUCCUUCAUGUAUUAGAACUGCUUUCCUUUGGCUGGAUGGCAAAACCGCACACCUUUGCUGCUGUGUCUGUUCUUACUCCUUUUCCUCCUUGUAAAAUAUGGUUGAUUAUAAUACCAUAAUUAUGAUUACUUUUCUGAUUAUUUUGAAAAGAUUUUUUGAAAUGUUUUGGCUAGUG